rnacentral:pre_miRNA from 10 species
GGCUAAGAGAGCCAUCUGUUGACAGUUGUUUGUUGCCCACUGUCAUGGAGUUGCUCUCUUCAGAUGC